GUUUUGCUAAAGGCAUUAUAUUGGUUGCUUUGAUUUGUUAUAUUUAGUUUGACAUGAAAUUAUGCUUGUGCAGAAUAAGUUUGAAUUUGACAUGUCGCUCCCUUGGGUCCAGAGAUAUGUAAUUACAACAUGUCAGAUCGUAUAUUGUAAUUUUCGCUAUAAGUUAAAGAAACAUUUUGAGCAGUUUUUAACAAUUGAGGAGGCAAUUCAAAACAAACAUGAAGCUGUCAAGACUCAGGAAGAAUGAGAGUUUCUUUGCACUCAUUUUUCUAGUGAAAAGUUUAAGGUACAUAUCACCACAAAGCUGGGUCAAAAUCAUUUGUCACACCAAGAGCAAAUUGCAACACAGACUGGAGAGAUGCAAUGUGCAAUUGAUCGUUUUGAAACAGAGUAUAGAAGUACAAAAAAAGGAUGGGACUUGGGAGCAAAGGAAAAAUGGGAUCAAAUGAUAAAGAUGCGAGCAGAUACCACUCAACCUGAUGGAACUCGAAAAAUG